UGUGGGCACUCAACUCCUUCACUGUGGAUAGGGGGACCGAAGGGAGGGCGGGCCCAGGCCUGAGCACCCAUUUUGGAGGUUGGGGAGCUCGGCCCUGCAGGCUGUGUGCUCAGGAGUGCGGGAGUGAAGGGCGCAACCGUGGGAGGGGGAAGGAGGCCCGAGGGGGGUCCCUUGGAUUCGGGGGCGCGAAGAGGAAGGCGGCGGGAAGGACUCGGUCGAGCGAGGUUUAUCAGUGCGAGGGGCCGCGCUCGCUCCGAUGGGCAGCGGAGAUCCUGCAGCGGGAGUUGGCGCUGCCUUCGCUCCUCGCCUUGGUGAGGGCUCCUGGAGGGGCCGGGACCUGUCCCCACCCAGACCUCUGCACCUGGCGGAUGCCUCGCUUCCCGAGUGUCUUCAGGACGUUCCCGGGACGCCCCCCGACCCCGCUGCCUCCGCGCCGCUGUAACACUACACUCCGGGGGGGCCUUCCGGUGCGCCACAGCCCCAACCCCCUUAGGACCACCUUAGGACGCCUGCAUUAUUCUUUCCACUGUCGGCGGCGGCCGAAUUUGUGUCUUUCUGGCUUUCUGCUCCAGUGGACAACAGCCAUUGCUUUCUGAUCCUGGGUUUUACCAGCAACCCAAAUAGUGAUCCCCUUGUUUUCAUUUCUCUCCCUUUCUCCGCAAUAAAGGUUCAUGCAAAUAGCCUCCA